ACCCGCUGAACUUAAGCAUAUCAAUAAGCGGAGGAAAAGAAACUAACAAGGAUUCCCCUAGUAACGGCGAGUGAAGCGGGAAAAGCUCAAAUUUAAAAUCUGACUGUCUACGACUGUCCGAGUUGUAAUCUAGAGAGGUGUUUUCCGUGCCGGACCGUGUAAAAGUCCCUUGGAACAGGGCGUCGUAGAGGGUGAGAAUCCCGUCCAUGACACGGACUACCGGUGCUCUGUGAUACACCUUCAAAGAGUCGAGUUGUUUGGGAAUGCAGCUCAAAAUGGGUGGUAAAUUCCAUCUAAAGCUAAAUAUAGGCGAGAGACCGAUAGCGAACAAGUACCGUGAGGGAAAGAUGAAAAGAACUUUGGAAAGAGAGUUAAACAGUACGUGAAAUUGUUGAAAGGGAAACGCUUGAAGUCAGUCGCGUCUGCUGGGACUCAACCUUGCUUUUGCCUGGUGUACUUCUCAGUAGAUGGGCCAGCAUCAAUUUCGGGCGCCGGAAAAGGAUUUGAGGAAUGUGGCAGCUUGCUGUGUUAUAGCCUCUUGUCGUACACGGUGCUUGGGAUUGAGGAAUGCAGCACGCCUUUUGGUCGGGGUUCUCCCACGCCACGUGCUUAGGAUGCUGGCGUAAUGGCUUUAAACGACCCGUCUUGAAACACGG
rnacentral:rRNA from 1 species